CCUACGGGGGGCAGCAGUGAGGAAUAUUGGUCAAUGGGCGCGAGCCUGAACCAGCCAAGUCGCGUGAGGGAUGACGGCCCUACGGGUUGUAAACCUCUUUUGUCGGGGAGCAAAUUCCGUUACGUGUAACGGAGUCGAGAGUACCCGAAGAAAAAGCAUCGGCUAACUCCGUGCCAGCAGCCGCGGUAAUACGGAGGAUGCGAGCGUUAUCCGGAUUUAUUGGGUUUAAAGGGUGCGUAGGCGGACUGUCAAGUCAGCGGUCAAAUCGUGGGGCUCAACCCCAUCCAGCCGUUGAAACUGGGGAUCUAGAGUGUGCGAGAGGUAUGCGGAAUGCGUGGUGUAGCGGUGAAAUGCAUAGAUAUCACGCAGAACCCCGAUUGCGAAGGCAGCAUACCGGCGCCCGACUGACGCUGAGGCACGAAAGUGCGGGUAUCGAA
rnacentral:rRNA from 1 species